GUGCUUGCUUUGUCAGCACAUAUACUAAAAUUGUAACCAUACAGAGAUUAGCAUGGCCCCUGUGCAAGGAUGACAUGCAAAUUUGUAAAGUGUUCCAUAUUUUU